rnacentral:rRNA from 2 species
ACCUUACCCAGCCCUUGACAUCCCGAUCAGGAUUAUCAGAGAUGAUGAUUGUCGGUUCGGCCGGAUCGGUGACAGGUGCUGCAUGGCUGUCGUCAGCUCGUGUCGUGAGAUGUUGGGUUAAGUCCCGCAACGAGCGCAACCCUCGCCCUUAGUUGCCAUCAUUAAGUUGGGCACUCUAAGGGGACUGCCGGUGAUAAGCCGAGAGGAAGGUGGGGAUGACGUCAAGUCCUCAUGGCCCUUACGGGCUGGGCUACACACGUGCUACAAUGGUGGUGUCAGUGGGCAGCGAGACCGCGAGGUCGAGCUAAUCUCCAAAAGCCAUCUCAGUUCGGAUUGCACUCUGCAACUCGAGUGCAUGAAGUUGGAAUCGCUAGUAAUCGUGGAUCAGCAUGCCACGGUGAAUACGUUCCCGGGCCUUGUACACACCGCCCGUCACAC